GUGCACCAGGCACGAAUAUUGGGCAAUGGGCGAAAGCCUGACCCAGCGACGCCGCGUGGAGGAUGAAGGCCUUCGUGGUUGUAAACUCCUGUUCUGGAGGACGAGGGGUAGAAAAGAUAACACCUUUUCUACUUGACGGUACUCCAGGAGAAAGCGCCGGCUAACUCCGUGCCAGCAGCCGCGGUAAAACGGAGGGCGCGAGCGUUGUCCGGAAUUACUGGGUGUAAAGGGGGUGUAGGCGGGUUCUCAAGUUGGGCGUGAAAGUCGUCGGCUUAACUGACGAAUUGCGUCCAAUACUGGGAGCCUUGAGGGUGGUAGAGGAGAGCGGAAUUCUCGGUGUAGCGGUGGAAUGCGUAGAUAUCGAGAAGAACACCAGUGGCGAAGGCGGCUCUCUGGGCCAUCCCUGACGCUGAGGCCCGAAAGCUGGGGGAGCGAACAGGAUUAGAUACCCCCGUAG
rnacentral:rRNA from 1 species